AUUGAACGCUGGCGGCAGGCCUAACACAUGCAAGUCGAACGGUAACAGGAAACAGCUUGCUGUUUCGCUGACGAGUGGCGGACGGGUGAGUAAUGUCUGGGAAACUGCCUGAUGGAGGGGGAUAACUACUGGAAACGGUAGCUAAUACCGCAUAACGUCGCAAGACCAAAGAGGGGGACCUUCGGGCAUCUUGCCAUCGGAUGUGCCCAGAUGGGAGUAGCUAGUAGGUGGGGUAACGGCUCACCUAGGAGACGAUCCCUAGCUGGUCUGAGAGGAUGACCAGCCACACUGGAACUGAGACACGGUCCAGACUCCUACGGGAGGCAGCAGUGGGGAAUAUUGCACAAUGGGCGCAAGCCUGAUGCAGCCAUGCCGCGUGUAUGAAGAAGGCCUUCGGGUUGUAAAGUACUUUCAGCGGGGAGGAAGGGAGUAAAGUUAAUACCUUUGCUCAUUGACGUUACCCGCAGAAGAAGCACCGGCUAACUCCGUGCCAGCCGCCGCCGUAAGAC
rnacentral:rRNA from 1 species